UUCAUUCUCCUUCCUGCUGCCUUGUAAAGAAGGUGCCUUGCUUCCCUUUCUCCUUCCGCCAUGGUUGCAAGUUUCCUAAGGCCUCUCCAGCCACUCUGAACUGGCUGCAGUAACAAAUUACCACAAACAGCGUGGCUUAAAGCAACAGACAUUUCUUCUCUCGCAACUCUGAAGGCUGGAAGCCCAGAAUCAAGGUGAUGGCAGAGUCAUGCUCCCUCUGAGGUUCUGGAUGGACAUGCAUUUUGCGAGGAUAGCAGUCAAUGGUACGGGAAAUGAUGCUUGCUCUCAAGGAGCCCAUCGUCUGGUGGAAGGGGAGCAGACCUGUCAACAUAGAGGAGCGAUGUGGUGAUUGACAGAGGCUUUCAUGGUCUUUGAGCUAUUUUACAGCCCUGAAAGUUACAGAAAGCUGGUAAUAACACAAUGAGGAAAGGGCGUGUGAGGCCACAGCAAGAGGACAUACAAGCCAGGAAGUGAGCCCCCAUCAGACACCGGAACCUUGAUCUUGGACUUCCAGCCUCCAGAACUGUGAGAAAUAGAUUUCCCUUGUGUAAGCCACCAGCCUAUGGUGUUUUCUUACGGCAGGAGGAGCAGACUAUGAUCGGAGCAGACUAUGAGAGCUAUAUUUCAGGUUCUUUGAGAUUUUCUUUUAACCAAUUGUAAUAUCUUACUGGUUCCCCCAUGAAUUAAUGAACUAAAUACAAUUUUUGACAUAGUUUGA